AUUGAACGCUGGCGGCAUGCCUUACACAUGCAAGUCGAACGGUAACGGGCCUUCGGGUGCCGUCGAGUGGCGAACGGGUGAGUAAUACAUCGGAACGUGCCCGAUCGUGGGGGAUAACGAGGCGAAAGCUUUGCUAAUACCGCAUACGAUCUACGGAUGAAAGCAGGGGACCGCAAGGCCUUGCGCGGACGGAGCGGCCGAUGGCAGAUUAGGUAGUUGUUGGGAUAAAAGCUUACCAAGCCGACGAUCUGUAGCUGUUCUGAGAGGAUGAUCAGCCACAAUGGGACUGAGAAACGGCCAAGACUCCUACGGGAGGCAGCAGUGGGGAAAAUUGGACAAUGGGAGCAAGCCUGAUACAGCGAUGCCGAGUGCGGGAUGAAGGAAUUCGGGUUGUAAAAUGCUGUUGUACGGAACGAAAAGCCUUCUGUGAAUACAGGAGGGUCAUGACGGUACCGGAAGAAGAAGCACCGGCUAACUACGUG
rnacentral:rRNA from 1 species